rnacentral:tRNA from 1 species
ACUCCGCUAGCACAACUGGCAGAUGCGUCGGAUUUUGGUUCCGAAUGUUCCAGGUUCGAAUCCUGGGCGGAGUGC